GACGACGCUGGCGGCGUGCCUGACACAUGCAAGUCGGACGGUUCUUGCACCUUCAAGCUUGCUUGCUGGUGCAAGGAUAGUGGCGGACGGGUGAGUAACGCGUGAACAUCUACCCAUUGGAGGGGGACAACCCGUCGAAAGGCGGGCUAAUACCGCGUAAGCCGCGAGGUGAGAGGCUGCCUAUUGGUGGCCGCCGAUGGAUGGGUUCGCGUCCUAUCAGCUGGUUGGUGGGGUAACGGUCUACUAAGGCGAAGACGGGUAGCCGGUCUGAGAGGGUGACCGGCCACACUGGAACUGAGACACGGUCCAGACUCCUACGGGAGGCAGCAGUGGGGAAUAUUGCGCAAUGGGGGGAACCCUGACGCAGCAACGCCGCGUGGAGGAAGAAGGUCUUCGGAUUGUAAACUCCUGUCUUCUGGGACGAAUAAUGACGGUACCAGAGGAGGAAGCCACGGCUAACUACGUG
rnacentral:rRNA from 1 species